AUUGAACGCUGGCGGCAGGCCUAACACAUGCAAGUCGAACGAGUGGCGGACGGGUGAGUAAUGUCUGGGAAACUGCCUGAUGGAGGGGGAUAACUACUGGAAACGGAAGCUAAUACCGCAUACCAUCAGAGGUGCCCAAAGGUGAUGAGCUAGUUGGUGGGGUAACGGCUCACCAAGGCGACGAUCCCUAGCUGGUCUGAGAGGAUGACCAGCCACACUGGAACUGAGACACGGUCCAAGCUCCUACGGGAGGCAGCAGUGGUGAAUAUUGCACAAUGGGCGCAAGCCGUAUGCAGACAUGCCGCGUGUAUGAAGCAGGCCUUCGGGUUGUAAAGUACUUUCAGCGGGGAGGCGUUACCCGCAGAAGAAGCACCGGCUAACUCCGUGCCAGCAGCCGCGGUAAUUC
rnacentral:rRNA from 1 species